ACCCGCUGAACUUAAGCAUAUCAAUAAGCGGAGGAAAAGAAACCAACGGGGAUUGCCUUAGUAACUGCGAGUGAAGCGGCAAAAGCUCAAAUUUGAAAUCUGGCGUCUUCGGCGUCCGAGUUGUAAUUUGGAGAGGCAUCUUCGGAAUGGUCACCGGUCCAAGUUCCUUGGAACAGGACGUCACAGAGGGUGAGAAUCCCGUGUCUGGCUGGUUGUACCAAUCCAUGUGAAGUGUCUUCGACGAGUCGAGUUGUUUGGGAAUGCAGCUCAAAAUGGGAGGUAAAUUUCUUCUAAAGCUAAAUAUUGGCGAGAGACCGAUAGCGCACAAGUAGAGUGAUCGAAAGAUGAAAAGCACUUUGAAAAGAGAGUUAAAAAGUACGUGAAAUUGUUGAAAGGGAAGCGCUUGAGACCAGACUCAAUCUGCGGUAAUCAGCAGUCCUUUUGGGCUGUGCACUUGCUGCUUUUUGGGCCAGCAUCGGUUUUGACCGCGUGAUAAAGACCUUGGGAAUGUGGCUCCUCUCGGGGAGUGUUAUAGCCCCUGGUGCAAUGACGCGUGUUGGGACCGAGGACCGCGCUUCGGCUAGGAUGCCGGCAUAAUGGUCUU
rnacentral:rRNA from 1 species